UGAGUGUUAAUCAUGCAUCAUAAAGCUAGAUAACCGAAAGUAGGAAUGACCUCCAGAUCCUCAGCUUCUUUACUUUAUGUGAAUAAAAAGAAAGAAAGAAAAUCUCCAACUCAGGAGGACAUGUUGUGUUUUCAGAAAAGGAUCAUAGUGGUGCUGGAGCCGUCAAGCUGUGGAGAAUCAAGGGUCAAUGUGAGGAAUGUGUCUCCACAACUGGGCUCAAAGUUUGCUGUCCCCACAUGCAAACAGAGCUGUGCACAGAUUUCACUUCAGACUGACUGUAAAUAAAAUGUGUUCUCGCCUCUUCAGCAUAUGAACAGAUACAUCACAGAGAUGCAUGCUUUUUCUUAUUUUAGAAAAUAAGCUAAAACAUGUACAAAAAUGUGAAAUGUUUUUUUAUUACAAUGUCAUUUUAUUUUUAUUUUUGCAUGCAAUUUUGUCCAAGAAGGUUAUUGCCAAACUUGAUUUUUUUUGUCUUUGUAUUUCAUCUUUUUUUUAAUGAUUUGUUCAUGAAUCAAACCAAUAAACGUGUAAUGUAAACUUUCUUCGGCAGGUAGUUAUCUCAUCUGUUUAACUGACGUUUGUUAAAAACGCCAUUUGCGAACAUCUUAGCAAAGUGACUGAAACCUCUUUAUUUAAUAAUUUAAAAAAAGACUCAGAAA